rnacentral:rRNA from 1 species
GGACCCGCGUCUGUUUAGCCAGUUGGCGGGGUAACGGCCUACCAAAGCGACGAUCAGUAGCCGGCCUGAGAGGGUGGACGGCCACAUUGGGACUGAGACACGGCCCAAACUCCUACGGGAGGCAGCAGUGGGGAAUAUUGCACAAUGGGGGAAACCCUGAUGCAGCGACGCCGCGUGAGUGAAGAAGUAUUUCGGUAUGUCAAGCUCUAUCAGCAGGAACGAGACAAGACGGUACCUGACUAAGAAGCCCCGGCUAACUACGUGCCAGCAGCCGCGGUAAUACGUAGGGGGCAAGCGUUAUCCGGAAUCACUGGGUGUAAAGGGAGCGUAGACGGCUGUGCAAGCCUGAAGUGAAAGGCGGGGGCCCAACCCCCGGACUGCUUUGGGAACUGUACGGCUGGAGUGCAGGAGAGGUAAGUGGAAUUCCUAGUGUAGCGGUGAAAUGCGUAGAUAUUAGGAAAAACACCAGUGGCGAAGGCGGCUUACUGGACUGUAACUGACGUUGAGGCUCGAAAGCGUGGGGAGCACACAGAAGUAGAUACCCUGGUAGUCCACGCCGUAAACGAUCUCUAUAAGGGGUCGGGGGGCAGAGGCCCUUCGGUACCGCAGCAAACGCAAUAAGUAUUCCACUUGGGGAGUAUGUCCGCAAGGAUGAAACUCAAAGGAAUUGACGGGGACCCGCACAAGCGGUGGAGCAUGUGGUUUAAUUGGAAGCAACGCGAAGAACCUUACCCGGCCUUGACAUCCCCCUGACAGUGUAUGUAAUGUACAUUCCCUUCGGGGCAGGGGAGACAGGUGGUGCAUGGUUGUCGUCAGCUCGUGUCGUGAGAUGUUGGGUUAAGUCCCGCAACGAGCGCAACCCUUACCCACAGUAGCCAGCACAAAAGGUGGGCACUCUGUGGGGACUGCCGGGGACAACCCGGAGGAAGGUGGGGAUGACGUCAAAUCAUCAUGCCCCUUAUGGCCGGGGCUACACACGUGCUACAAUGGCGUAAACAAAGGGAAGCGAGAGAGUGAUCUUAAGCGAAACUCAAAAAUAACGUCCCAGUUCGGAUUGCAGUCUGCAACUCGACUGCAUGAAGCUGGAAUCGCUAGUAAUCGC